UGGGGAAUAUUGGGCAAUGGGCGCAAGCCUGACCCAGCAACGCCGCGUGAAGGAAGAAGGUCUUCGGAUUGUAAACUUCUGUCAUAGGGGACGAAGGAAGUGACGGUACCCUAUGAGGAAGCCCCGGCUAACUACGUGCCAGCAGCCGCGGUAAUACGUAGGGGGCGAGCGUUGUCCGGAAUUACUGGGCGUAAAGGGUGCGUAGGCGGCGAUGCAAGUCCAUUGUGAAAAGCCCGGGCUUAACCUGGGAGGUGCAGUGGAAACUGUAUGGCUUGAGUGCAGGAGAGGAAAGUGGAAUUCCUAGUGUAGCGGUGAAAUGCGUAGAUAUUAGGAGGAACACCAGUGGCGAAGGCGACUUUCUGGACCGUAACUGACGCUGAGGCACGAAAGCGUGGGGAGCAAACAG
rnacentral:rRNA from 1 species